rnacentral:rRNA from 1 species
UAGAGUUUGAUCCUGGCUCAGGAUGAACGCUGGCGGCGUGCCUAAUACAUGCAAGUCGAGCGAACGGACGAGAAGCUUGCUUCUCUGAUGUUAGCGGCGGACGGGUGAGUAACACGUGGAUAACCUACCUAUAAGACUGGGAUAACUUCGGGAAACCGGAGCUAAUACCGGAUAAUAUUUUGAACCGCAUGGUUCAAAAGUGAAAGACGGUCUUGCUGUCACUUAUAGAUGGAUCCGCGCUGCAUUAGCUAGUUGGUAAGGUAACGGCUUACCAAGGCAACGAUGCAUAGCCGACCUGAGAGGGUGAUCGGCCACACUGGAACUGAGACACGGUCCAGACUCCUACGGGAGGCAGCAGUAGGGAAUCUUCCGCAAUGGGCGAAAGCCUGACGGAGCAACGCCGCGUGAGUGAUGAAGGUCUUCGGAUCGUAAAACUCUGUUAUUAGGGAAGAACAUAUGUGUAAGUAACUGUGCACAUCUUGACGGUACCUAAUCAGAAAGCCACGGCUAACUACGUGCCAGCAGCCGCGGUAAUACGUAGGUGGCAAGCGUUAUCCGGAAUUAUUGGGCGUAAAGCGCGCGUAGGCGGUUUUUUAAGUCUGAUGUGAAAGCCCACGGCUCAACCGUGGAGGGUCAUUGGAAACUGGAAAACUUGAGUGCAGAAGAGGAAAGUGGAAUUCCAUGUGUAGCGGUGAAAUGCGCAGAGAUAUGGAGGAACACCAGUGGCGAAGGCGACUUUCUGGUCUGUAACUGACGCUGAUGUGCGAAAGCGUGGGGAUCAAACAGGAUUAGAUACCCUGGUAGUCCACGCCGUAAACGAUGAGUGCUAAGUGUUAGGGGGUUUCCGCCCCUUAGUGCUGCAGCUAACGCAUUAAGCACUCCGCCUGGGGAGUACGACCGCAAGGUUGAAACUCAAAGGAAUUGACGGGGACCCGCACAAGCGGUGGAGCAUGUGGUUUAAUUCGAAGCAACGCGAAGAACCUUACCAAAUCUUGACAUCCUUUGACAACUCUAGAGAUAGAGCCUUCCCCUUCGGGGGACAAAGUGACAGGUGGUGCAUGGUUGUCGUCAGCUCGUGUCGUGAGAUGUUGGGUUAAGUCCCGCAACGAGCGCAACCCUUAAGCUUAGUUGCCAUCAUUAAGUUGGGCACUCUAAGUUGACUGCCGGUGACAAACCGGAGGAAGGUGGGGAUGACGUCAAAUCAUCAUGCCCCUUAUGAUUUGGGCUACACACGUGCUACAAUGGACAAUACAAAGGGCAGCGAAACCGCGAGGUCAAGCAAAUCCCAUAAAGUUGUUCUCAGUUCGGAUUGUAGUCUGCAACUCGACUACAUGAAGCUGGAAUCGCUAGUAAUCGUAGAUCAGCAUGCUACGGUGAAUACGUUCCCGGGUCUUGUACACACCGCCCGUCACACCACGAGAGUUUGUAACACCCGAAGCCGGUGGAGUAACCUUUUAGGAGCUAGCCGUCGAAGGUGGGACAAAUGAUUGGGGUGAAGUCGUAACAAGGUAGCC